ACGCUCGACACCUACGGGAGCAGCAGUCGGGAAUAUUGCGCAAUGGAGGAAACUCUGACGCAGUGACGCCGCGUAUAGGAAGAAGGUUUUCGGAUUGUAAACUAUUGUCGUUAGGGAAGAGAAAGGACAGUACCUAAGGAGGAAGCUCCGGCUAACUACGUGCCAGUAGCCGCGGUAAUCUGAGCGGGCGUGGCAAGGC
rnacentral:rRNA from 1 species